AGUGAACGCUGGCGGUAGGCCUAACACAUGCAAGUCGAACGGCAGCACAGUAAGAGCUUGCUCUUACGGGUGGCGAGUGGCGGACGGGUGCGGAAUACAUCGGAAUCUACUUUUUCGUGGGGGCUAACGUAGGGAAACUUACGCCAAUACUGCAUACGACCUACGGGUGAAAGCAUGGGAUCUUCGGACCUUGCGCGAUUGAAUGAGCCGAUGUCGGAUUAGCUAGUUGGCGGGGUAAAGGCCCACCAAGGCGACGAUCCGUAGCUGGUCUGAGAGGAUGAUCAGCCACACUGGAACUGAGACACGGUCCAGACUCCUACGGGAGGCAGCAGUGGGGAAUAUUGGACAAUGGGCGCAAGCCUGAUCCAGCCAUACCGCGUGGGUGAAGAAGGCCUUCGGGUUGUAAAGCCCUUUUGUUGGGAAAGAAAAGCAGCAGGUUAAUACCCCGCUGUUCUGACGGUACCCAAAGAAUAAGCACCGGCUAACUUCGUG
rnacentral:rRNA from 1 species